rnacentral:rRNA from 1 species
CCUACGGGAGGCAGCAGUGGGGAAUAUUGGGCAAUGGAGGCAACUCUGACCCAGCAACGCCGCGUGAAUGAUGAAGGUGCCAAGCAUUGUAAACUUCGUUUGUCAGGGGACAAAAUCAGGCUCGAGAGCCUGACCGAGGGUACUUGAAGAAAAAGCAUCGGCUAAAUCCGUGCCAGCAGCCGCGGUAAUACGGAGGAUGCGAGCGUUAUCCGGAUUUAUUGGGUUUAAAGGGAGCGUAGAUGGGUUGUUAAGUCAGUUGUGAAAGUGUGCGGCUCAACCGUAAAAUUGCAAUUGAUACUGGCAGUCUUGAGUACAGUUGAGGUAGGCGGAAUUCGAGGUGUAGCGGUGAAAUGCUUAGAUAUCACGAAGAACUCCGAUUGCGAAGGCAGCUUACUAAACUGCCACUGACAUUGAUGCGCGAAAGUGUGGGUAUCAAACAGGAUUAGAUACCCGGGUAGUC